GCCUUCGUGGUGUAGUGAUCAGCACGCUCGACGCGUAACCGAGAGGUCCGUGGUUCGAUUCCCGGCGAAGGCU
rnacentral:tRNA from 1 species